rnacentral:rRNA from 1 species
GCACAAGGCCUAAAUACUUCCAAGGCACCAAAUCCUGUAUGAUCCUAGAAGCUAAGCAGAGCAAGCCCUGGCUAGGACUCGACUGGGAGACCACCAACAAAUCCUCGGUGUUUUAUGCU